rnacentral:rRNA from 1 species
UUAAAAAUUUAAAAUAGUCUACAAGCCCGAUUCCGUCUGAACUCAGAAGCUAAGCAGGGUCGGGCCUGGUUAGUACUUGGCUGGGAGACCACCUAGGAAGACCAGGUGCAAU